CCACAAUAUGCUGUUAUGGAAAGAUCUAUAUUUGAGUACAAAAUGUUUACACUACUUGACCAUGGUAAGAGUAAGUUAAACUUUGUAAGUACAUUUUCACUAAAUUAUAAUCAAGAAAAUAAAUCAAUGCUAUAUUAAGGUGCCCAAAAUAACUAGAGGUAGCCAAAGUCGCAUGUAUCAUCUGGCACUUAAAAUGUCAUCUAUGCUCAUUGAUUUCUAUAAAUAAUCCAAUUGGCUUUGGGGCCCUAGAGAUCAAAAAAAUACUCCCGUUUCACAGUCUUUCCAGCUAUAAUCCUAUCCCUAGGGGCUAAAAGGUUAAAAUCACAUUAACUGCCAACCUAUGCUGUCUAACAGUUUCUUUUUUUAUUUGUUUAUAAAUCGAAUCUUAGCAUAGACUAAAAGCUAAUUUUGGGUUUGGCUUAAAGUCUAGAAAUAGUAAGUGCUCAGAAAAGAAGAAAGAAAAUUUUAAAUCUUUAUUUAAAAUACUACUGACGAGUUAAAGUCUUAGUGCAAAAUAGAACAAUAAGUAUGUAGCACACCAAAGACUCACAGUAAAACACCUCAGUUGUGUUUGGUCUGUGCUCUGUCUUGGUCUCCAGGUGUGUGUUUCUUCUGUCUGUUCUCCGUUUCCUCUUUACAGGCUGUGAGAAAAAAGCUGUCUCCAAACACCAUUCACUGUAACACCAUUAACUAUGGAAUGUUUCCUGUUUCUACCUGUGCCCGUGCAUGG
rnacentral:lncRNA from 1 species